GCACGGAUGGCCGAGUGGUCUAAGGCGCCAGACUUAAGCGAGUAGUUCCUGGAUAUCAUCGCUGAGAAUUCUGGUAUCGUGAUCGAUGCGUGGGUUCGAACCCCACUCCGUGCA
rfam:Ascaris lumbricoides genome assembly, scaffold: ALTE_scaffold0007830